AGAUUGAACGCUGGCGGCAUGCCUUACACAUGCAAGUCGAACGGCAGCACGGGAGCAAUCCUGGUGGCGAGUGGCGAACGGGUGAGUAAUACAUCGGAACGUGCCCAAUCGUGGGGGAUAACGCAGCGAAAGCUGUGCUAAUACCGCAUAAGAUCUACGGAUGAAAGCAGGGGAUCGCAAGACCUUGCGCGAAUGGAGCGGCCGAUGGCAGAUUAGGUAGUUGGUGAGGUAAAGGCUCACCAAGCCUUCGAUCUGUAGCUGGUCUGAGAGGACGACCAGCCACACUGGGACUGAGACACGGCCCAGACUCCUACGGGAGGCAGCAGUGGGGAAUUUUGGACAAUGGGCGAAAGCCUGAUCCAGCCAUGCCGACGUGCAGGAUGAAGGCCUUCGGUUGUAAACGUGUCGUUUGUACGGAACGAAAGUCUCUUUACUAAGUAAAGAGGAUCAUGACGUACCGUAAGAAUAAGCAACCGCUAACGUACGUACG
rnacentral:rRNA from 1 species